rnacentral:rRNA from 1 species
UACAGGGGGUGCAAACGUUGCUCGGAAUCAUUGGGCGUAAAGCGCACGUAGGCGGUUCGUUAUGUCGGAUGUGAAAGCCCUUGGCUUAACCGAGGAAGUGCAUCCGAAACUGGCGAGCUAGAGUACUAAAGAGGAUCGCGGAAUUCCCGGUGUAGAGGUGAAAUUCGUAGAUAUCAGGAAGAACACCCGUGGCGAAGGCGGCUCUCUGGGACGGUACUGACGCUGAGACGCGAAAGCGUGGGGAGCGAACAGG